rnacentral:rRNA from 1 species
GAUGAACGCUAGCGGCAGGCCUAACACAUGCAAGUCGAGGGGUAGAGUUCUUCGGGACUUGAGACCGGCGCACGGGUGCGUAACGCGUAUGCAAUCUACCUUAUACAGGGGAAUAGCCCAGAGAAAUUUGGAUUAAUGCCCCAUAGUGUUAUCGAAUCGCAUGGUUUGAUAACUAAAGUUCCAACGGUAUAAGAUGAGCAUGCGUCCAUUAGUUAGUUGGUAAGGUAACGGCUUACCAAGACAAUGAUGGGUAGGGGUCCUGAGAGGGAGAUCCCCCACACUGGUACUGAGACACGGACCAGACUCCUACGGGAGGCAGCAGUGAGGAAUAUUGGUCAAUGGGCGCAAGCCUGAACCAGCCAUGCCGCGUGCAGGAAGACGGUCCUAUGGAUUGUAAAGCACUUUAAGUUGGGAGGAAGGGUAGUAACCUAAUACGUUGCUACUUUGACGUUACCGACAGAAUAAGCACCGGCUAACUUCGUGCCAGCAGCCGCGGUAAAGUGACU